AGAAAGCUUAGAGAAAGGCAAUGGUAAACCACCUCUGAAUACCUCUUUCCAUGAAAACCCUAUGAAUAUAUCCAAAAAAGAUUCAAAGUGUCUCCAUAAGUCGUAAUCCACUUGAAGGCAUAUAACAACAACGCCCAGUGUAUUCUGAGAUCCAUAGAAGACUAGCAGAGAUUCCUCAAGGAGAAGACGAAGAAUAGCUGGUAAACUACCCUGACAGGUGGUGCUAGCAAAUCACAAAGGGUUACGUGGUCCAUUUUACUUCUAUUUCUUCACUGAGCUACCAAAUUCCUCUGUAACUUCCAGGCACUUUGAAUUCUACUAAAAGCAAUAAGGUCCUGUUCUUCAGUGGACCUAACACAGUCAGCACCAGAUGAACCUCCUUGAAGAAUGACUGCUCCACAAACGUGGCAUCCUAGCUAAGAAGGCCCUCUUGUUGUCACCUGCCUUACCUCAAAAGCUGGGAGCAUCUCGAGAGGGGCUUCUAUUGAGAGUCUUAGUGCAGGUUAAUGGGUGAUACAGCAGUCCUUCAGAUCCCAACUUGGAUUACAUCUAAAGCUACCUGUGUGUACUGAAUAAAAGCAGAAGGAAGACAGAUAAGGGCAGCAGGAGGACUUAACAGUGGCAACGAGCAUGGGAUACAUUAACGUUCUAGGCCUAACUUCAUAUCUGGGGAGUGUGAGAGAGAAAGAGACUUGGCCACAGGCAGCAGGAGGACUUAACACGGUCCAGCACUGUCCAAGUCAAAUUAACAGCCCUCCACAACUAUGUUGAAGUAAAGAAAAUGGGAUCAAGAGAUCUGACAAAGGUUCUCCUACUAUGAAGCGAUAGGACUUUCAACCAUUUUGUGUUGGGUUGUCGGUUGUAAAAUUUGGUUGUAAACUGGUUGC